rnacentral:snRNA from 1 species
AGCGACUGGAUAACCUACAACCAAACAAUCCCCUCGCCUUUUACUAGGGGAUUCCGUGUAGGUUGUUCAAUGAAAGUCGCAUUCUUAAUCUUUGGGCUUACACUUCGCUUCGAGCAAGUAC